AGAGAAUGCUGAUGAUGAAAACGAUGGAGUUACUAAUAGCAAAAUAGCAGAGGAGGAUUUUGGGAAGAGCUUUGCUGAGAAAUAUUGAAUUAUAUUAGAUACUUCCCCCUCCAGUAUUGUCCGAGGGCAUCUUUAUUUUCUCUUAGAGUGUUGAUAGAAAAUACAUUGUAUGUGUUUCAUUUACGUGACACAUUCCCAGAGACUCAAAGUAUCUUGAGGUACUUUAUUCCACUCUUCAUCCUGCCCCUCCCCUACCUCCUCUGGUCUCUCGUACAGCUGUGUGUUUGGUACAAUACAAUAAGGUUAGGACACACAGUCAGACUGAGUCAGUGGUAUAUACAUGUACUGGUACAUGUUU